rnacentral:tRNA from 1 species
GCCCUUGUGGUGUAGUGGUUUGAGUGUUGGACUACAACUCUGGAGACCAGGGUUCAAACCCUUGCUUGGCCA